GUGCCAGCCGCCGCGGUAAUACGUAGGGUGCAAGCGUUAAUCGGAAUUACUGGGCGUAAAGCGUGCGCAGGCGGUGAUGUAAGACAGAUGUGAAAUCCCCGGGCUCAACCUGGGAACUGCAUUUGUGACUGCAUCGCUGGAGUGCGGCAGAGGGGGAUGGAAUUCCGCGUGUAGCAGUGAAAUGCGUAGAUAUGCGGAGGAACACCGAUGGCGAAGGCAAUCCCCUGGGCCUGCACUGACGCUCAUGCACGAAAGCGUGGGGAGCAAACAGGAUUAGAUACCCCUGGUAGUCC
rnacentral:rRNA from 1 species